CCAAGAGCCGGCGGGGCCUGCAUUCCAGAAUAAAGGAUUUACCUGGGAGUUAGCUGUAAUUGAAAUGGGUCGGGCUGGCUGCUGAGUAAAUGUGCGUAGGAUUGGGCCGUAACUUAAAUCUACAAACUGAGGAGAAGGAGAAGAAGAAAGAAGAAACGUUGUGACAGGUAGAGAUUCGGCUGUUGAGGCGUUUUCUAGCAGCUGUUCUCCAGGGUUUAAGACAGUGGAUGUUUCCAGCCCUAUCUGGAGAUGCCAGAGGCUGAACAAAAUAAAAUAAAAUAAAAAUUCCUUCCAGUAGCACCUUAGAGACCAACUAAGUUAGUUAUUGGUAUGAGCUUUUAUGUGCACACGAAAGCUCAUACCAAUAACUAACUUAGUUGGUCUCUAAGGUGCUAUUGGAAGGAAUUUAUUAUUAUUAUUAUUAUUAUUAUUAUUAUUCAACUACAGCAGACCAACACGGCUACCUACCUGUAAACAGAGACUGAACCUGAGACCUACAUGCAAAGCAGAUGUUCUGCAACUCGGCUACAGUCCGUCCCCCAAAAUCAAAUGAAGUACUACGGAAACACUACAAUAGAGUACUACAAAGAGGUCAUAUUCUCCAUUCUUUCCUUGUGCAUUGUUUAGUAAAGUUUAAUGGAAGAUAAGGCUGUCAAUGGCUACUAGUCACAAUGGCUGUGCUCUUCCCCCACUGUCGGGGGUAGUAAGGCUUUUGAAUCCCAGUUGCUGAAAACCACAGCAGCUCUUGUGCUUAGGUCCUGCUUGCAGGUUUCCCACUGCCAUCUAGUUGUUCAUAGUGAACAGGCUGCUGGACUAUAUAAGUCAUUGGCCUGAUUCAGCACACUCUUCUUGUGUUCUUAUGUUGAUAGUCAAAUGAAAUGUUACCUUGAUAUGCGCUAGCAUCUGUUUCCUUUCUUUACCCUUUGGAUUUUUCCCACCCCACUGGCAAUAUUUCAGCAAUAAGCUCCCUGGGGGCAGAGUAUUUGUGUUACCAGGUAAAGUGCACAGUAAACCACAACAUAAUUUGAGUUUGGAACCUACAAAUUGGGCAGGCCAGAUCCAACACUGUUGGCAGUCUUCCAACUAACCCACUCACCAUCUGUUGUGGCUGCCAGAUGGCACUUGGAAAGAAAAAAACUUUUCUUUUUCUGAAUAUCCUAAACAAGCAAGUAUGAAUGUAGCAAGCUCUGCGUGAUUGUAGCAACUAAAAACCUACUUCCACACAAGCCAAGUAUGUACAGAGAUAGCGAACAGAGGUCUAACUUAGAGGAACUAAAAUAAAUGUUAACAAAUUGUCAUUUUAAAUAGUCUAGUCAUCAGCAACAUCCCUAUCAAUGAAAACAAGUGGACCUUGGCCACUGAAGAAAAAAUACACAUAAACUAAGAAUCUUCAAAGGAAAGGAAGACCCUGAAUAUUUCUGUUCUGUCUGCUGGGACUUUAUUUCUCUAUCAUGUGCAGGGUGGCAUCAACGGUUGGCACGCCUGGGGGCACGCUCAAAAACCCUGCUGGACUUCCUCACCCUCUGCACCGUUGUUGGCUGCUUCACCUUCCUCUUCUUGCAUUUUAAUGGUGUUGCAAGGCCAAAAGAACAGGGUGUCUAACCACCACCUACUCAUGUACCUCUUGGUCUGGCC